rnacentral:rRNA from 11 species
GUGUGUGUCCUAAAUGCCCUAACGGCAACCAAUACUAUGUCUGAUCUUGGAAGCUAAGCAGGGUCAAUGUUUAUUAGUACCUGGAUGGGGAACCAUCAAUGAAUAGCAGGUGCUGUAGGCU